GAAAUGCGAUAAGUAGUGUGAAUUGCAGAAUUCAGUGAAUCAUCGAAUCUUUGAACGCACAUUGCGCCCCUUGGUAUUCCAUGGGGCAUGCCUGUUCGAGCGUCAUUUGUACCCUCAAGCUCUGCUUGGUGUUGGGUGUUUGUCCCGUCUCCGCGCGUGGACUCGCCCCAAAGUGAUUGGCAGCCGGCGUACUGGUCCCGGAGCGCAGCACAUGUCGCGCAAACGAGUGCCUUGGUACGGCGGCGUCCAUAAGCCCCUCUCUCACGCUCUUGACCUCGGAUCAGGUAGGGAUUCCCGCUGAACUUAAGC
rnacentral:misc_RNA from 1 species